UAUCUCUGUAGAGUCUGCAUAUCAAUAAGCGGAGGAAAAGAAACUAACUAGGAUUCCCUCAGUAACGGCGAGUGAAGCGGGAAGAGCUCAAAUUUGAAAUCUUCAAGGUUCUACCUUGACGAAUUGUAGUUUAAAGAAGUGUUUUCUGUUGGAGUUUUGGUAAAAGUUCUUUGGAAUAGGACAUCAUAGAGGGUGAGAAUCCCGUAUUUGACCAUUAUUUCCAGCUUUGUGAUACACUUUCAAAGAGUCGGAUUGUAUGGGAAUGCAGUCCAAAAUGGGUGGUAAAUUUCAUCUAAAGCUAAAUACUGGCGAGAGACCGAUAGCGAACAAGUACCGUGAGGGAAAGAUGAAAAGAACUUUGAAAAGAGAGUUAAACAGUACGUGAAAUUGUCAAAAGGGAAGCGUUUGACACCAGUGUUGUUUUCUCGAAAAUCAAUUAAAAAAGGCAGGAUUUUGUGUUGUAUUGACUUCAUCAGCUUUCUGCACUCUUUUCUUGUCUUUUUUAAUGCACUUUUCGUUUAACAAGUCAACAUCAAUUUCUUUUGUUGUAAAAGGGUCAUUGGAAGGUGGCUUUCUUUUCGGAGAAAGUGUUUAUAGCCUUUGGCCUCUGCAAUCGGAGAGAUUGAGGUCUGCAGCGUAGAUCCUUCGGGGUUAGAUACAUUUGUGCUAAGUUAUAGCCUUUCAUAGACAACUUGUUGACUAUGAUCAGUCAUGUAGCUUACUCGCUUAUGCUAUUUUACCUACGCUUAGGAUGUUGACGAUCAGCUGAGCGCG
rnacentral:rRNA from 1 species